rnacentral:rRNA from 1 species
GACCCGAGGCGUUUUAUCUUGUUGGUGAGGUAAAGGAUCAACAAAGCAGUGAUACGUAGCCGCCCUGAGAGGGUAAUCGGCCACAUUGGGACUGAGACACGGCCCAGACUCCUACGGGAGGCAGCAGUAGGGAAUUUUCCACAAUGGACGCAAGUUUGAUGGAGCAACGCCGCUUGAGUGAAGAAGGGUUUCGGCUUGUAAAGCUCUGUUGUUAAAGAAGAACGUGGGUAAGAGUAACUGUUUACCCAGUGACGGUAUUUAACCAGAAAGCCACGGCUAACUACGUGCCAGCAGCCGCGGUAAUACGUAGGUGGCAAGCGUUAUCCGGAUUUAUUGGGCGUAAAGCGAGCGCAGGCGGUCUUUUAAGUCUAAUGUGAAAGCCUUCGGCUCAACCGAAGAAGUGCAUGGAAACU